rnacentral:rRNA from 1 species
CACGUAGGGGGCAAGCGUUGUCCGGAUUUAUUGGGCGUAAAGAGCUCGUAGGCGGCUUAGUAAGUCGGGUGUGAAACCUCCAGGCUCAACCUGGAGACGCCACCCGAUACUGCUGUGGCUAGAGUCCGGUAGGGGAGCGUGGAAUUCCUGGUGUAGCGGUGAAAUGCGCAGAUAUCAGGAGGAACACCGGUGGCGAAGGCGGCCCACUGGUCCGGUACUGACGCUGAGGAGCUAAAGCGUGGGGAGCAAACAGG